rnacentral:rRNA from 2 species
AACAUCUAAGUACCCCGAGGAAAAGAAAUCAACCGAGAUUCCCCCAGUAGCGGCGAGCGAACGGGGAGCAGCCCAGAGCCUGAAUCAGCAUGUGUGUUAGUGGAACGGUCUGGAAAGGCCGGCGAUACAGGGUGACAGCCCCGUACACAAAAGUGCAUGUGUUGUGAGCUCGAUGAGUAGGGCGGGACACGUGGUAUCCUGUCUGAAUAUGGGGGGACCAUCCUCCAAGGCUAAAUACUCCUGACUGACCGAUAGUGAACCAGUACCGUGAGGGAAAGGCGAAAAGAACCCCGGCGAGGGGAGUGAAAAAGAACCUGAAACCGUGUACG